rnacentral:rRNA from 1 species
AACGUAGGAGGCAAGCGUUAUCCGGAGUUACUGGGCGUAAAGCGCGCGCAGGCGGUGCGUUAAGUCGGGCGUGAAAGCCCCAUGCUAAACGUGGGGAGGACGAACGAUACUGGCGAACUAGAGUAGAGCAGAGGGACAUGGAAUUCCGGGUGUAGCGGUGAAAUGUGCAGAUAUCCGGAGGAACACCAGAGGUGAAAACGGUGUCCUGGGCUCAUACUGACGCUGAGGUGCGAAAGCGUGGGGAGCGAACGGG